rnacentral:lncRNA from 9 species
AUGUUGUAUGAAUGGAUCUAUAUUCAAAGGGACUCGAACUGUACACCGAUCACAAACUCAGACAAAAAUUUUUCACAAAGAGAUAAGCAGCAGAAUUUAUCAGGCGUGAAAGGGACAGCCUCCUGGUGGCCUGCCAAAAACCCAGAAUAAAGGCGAAGUUGUGCUUCAAAGCUCAGUCGCUUGCUGAGUCUGGCUAAAGUCAAGUAUUAAGAUCCACCAUUUUCUGAGCCAUGCUAGAAAAGAAGAAAAAAGUCAGGACGGUUGCUGCUUUCCAAGUCUCCGUUGGCACCAUCACAAAAUCUCAGUCGUAAGGUCACAUGAUUCUCUGCCAAAUGUAGAGUGCAUUCCCAUCAACCAUUCUGCUGAUACUGCGAAGGCAGCUAUUGUCUCGUUUAGACCCAAAGUUCAGCCCACUCUUCAUUGAAUUAGCUGAAAAACGCAUCACCUUUGGGGGCUGGGAGUCAUGGAAACGUCUACCUGGCAAGCUGCCCACUUUUUCUGCCCAUCAACCAGAGAUGGAAUUGUGCUGCCUAAUGCAAUGAUGACUUGGAAUGUGAAGAGUCGUCCAAAGUGAAUCUGAUUCUUGCAACGCCUGUUUCAGUUUGCACAGAAAACUCUGGCUUCUUGUAGUUAAGGGUGUGUGUGUGCUGGGGGGGAAUCCUUCAGACUAAAUGUAGCAAAUAAAGGUCUGAACAUGCCUACUCCGUAACUUUAUUUCACAACACAAAUGGUUCUCAAAGGAAAAGACUGAAGUCUCUGCAAGUUUUCCCUUCCCCUGCCCCCUUUUCCUUUCUGAGUGAAUGCAACAAGCCCAGGACGUUUGUUUUAGUCCCUUGCAUUAAGAUUGAAAAGCUCUUGAGUUUUGUCUUGCUUUUUAUUACUUUCUGAUUUUUAUCUGGCACCAGUUUUGUACUACACGGCCACAAUAUCCUCCAGCAGCAGUGGGGAUGCAUUAUUGCUUCAAUCUCCGUCAAAGUGGUCCCCUGAGGGAUGCCAGUUGUCUCUUCAACCGCGCACACCCCUGCAACUGGGUCCUGGGGUAAUCCUCAGCAGUACCUAGCACAGCUGCUGUGCAAGUUUGCUAAG